rnacentral:rRNA from 1 species
CGUCCGUAGCCGGUAUGAUGAGUUCCUGGUAAAAUCAGAUUGCUUAACAAUCUGUUGGCUAGGAAUACUAUUAUACUAGGGGGCGGGAGAGGUUUGAGGUACUCCAGGGGUAGCGGUGAAAUGCUUUAAUCCUUGGGGGACCACCAGUGGCGAAGGCGUCAGACUGGAACGCGCCCGACGGUGAGGGACGAAAGCCAGGGGAGCGAACCGGAUUAGAUACCCGGGUAGUCCUGGCUGUAAACGAUGCGUGCUAGGUGUUGGUAUGGCUAUGAGCUGUAUCAGUGCCGUAGGGAAACCGUUAAGCGCGCCGCCUGGGGAGUACGGUCGCAAGACUGAAACUUAA